GCUACACAUAGUGCAACUAAAACCGAUUUAGAAAUCCCGGCAGGACGCUUUUUUAAGGUCCGAAAAAGAGGACGUAUGGUCACCCUAAUAGGGAUGGGCAUGAGUACUCGGGUACUCGGACAUGGCAGCAAUGAUCGAUAAUGAAAACGAUGAUCAAUGGUGAUUAAGCAUGAUGUGACUUUUCACUUAAUGCGAAAUCCAGUGACAAUUAUCUGACAACUAAACACAAACGUGUCAAAGAGGGAGCUUAUUUUUUCAUUUUGAGAUUGAUUACGUGGUGAUUUUUAGGGGUACAUUGAUUAUCAGAGUCGUCUCAUUGCAACCAAACUGAUAUACUACGCUGAAAUGCUGUGAAUGAAAUAAUGAAAUAUGUAUUAGGAUAUUAUUUUAAAUGAUACAGCGUGUGUUUAACUUUAGCAGCUCCUCGGUGUAUCGACAGAGGUACAAUUGCUACAUUUUACAAGCAUUUUAACAUUCAGGAAUUUUUGUUUAGUGGAGGUAGCCUGUGAUUCUUUAGAUUAUUAUUAUUUAUUUUUUUAAGGUUACUGUUGUUUAAUUUAACUGAUAGACUUACAGGAUAUUCGUUUUUCUUCCCAUUCUAAAGAAUCUUGAGGGCUCAAAAUACUUGUUUGGAAUAGUUUCCCGCCUUGUUUGAACAAGGUGGAUGUAUUUUGUUGUUCGGUACAAGUUUCCGAAAUAUUGUUUAACCACCAAGCAAGUUGAAGAGAAUUUAAAAUGUCCAGGUGUUUUGCUGAGUUCGCUGAGUAGCGCUUUAGAAACCAUAAUCUAUCAAACACACGUAUGCAGAACUUGAUCGGCACAGUCUUCGCUGUUGACUUUAUAUCUCGUCAGAAGGCAUUAAAGACGGAGAAUACUUCUGGUGAACUUGCUGAGAUUAUCUUGAUUCGUUACUUAAAGUAUCAACAUAGUGUCCACACAAGUCGAACCACUGUGCUUCGUGCACUUCCUGUUCUGCUGAGAGAAGACGCCUCAAGAUUCUUCAAAACAUGUGGGCAUCACGGCUCUUGGCUCUGAGCUUGUUGACCUGAGAUUCUGCGAUGUCUGCACACUCUUCAGACUCUUCCAGCUUGUGCUGUACCUUCCUCAAUUUAGACAGUUUCUCCUCGGAUUGCUGCUUGUCAUUCACCAGGUCCAUGAUGGAUUCUCGGGCCAGUUUCAGGUCCCCUUCAAGUUUUCUCUUGGCUCUCUCAAGGUCCAUGCAGAGCUUCUUCUCUUGUUCAAGGGAGCAACAUUUAAAAAAAUGUCAGAAUGAAAGGAGGUAUAGAAUUAUUCAGUUAGUAUCAUGCUUGAAAAAUAACGCACGUCAUCAACUUGCUGUUCAAACUAUGUCUUGGCUUUGGUCAGGGUGUUGACUUUGUCCUCCUCUGCCUGGAAAUCAUCCAGAGUCUGCUGAUGUGCCUCUUGGAGGGCUUUCUUCUCCUUUCCAAUGUGAGCUCGAGGUCAUCAAUGUCUUUCUUCAGCUCAGAACACUCAUCCUCCAGUUUCCUCUUCUUGGCUGUGAGUUCUGCAUUGAUUUCUUCCUCAUCCUCCAGCCUCUCGGUUGUCUCUUUGAGUUUAGC